rnacentral:rRNA from 1 species
CACGUAGGGCGCAAGCGUUGUCCGGAAUUAUUGGGCGUAAAGAGCUCGUAGGCGGUCUGUUACGUCUGCUGUGAAAACCCUGGGCUUAACCCUGGGCUUGCAGUGGAUACGGGCAGACUAGAGGCAGGUAGGGGAGAAUGGAAUUCCCGGUGUAGCGGUGAAAUGCGCAGAUAUCAGGAGGAACACCGAUGGCGAAGGCAGGUCUCUGGGCCACUACUGACGCUGAGAAGCGAAAGCAUGGGGAGCGAACAGG